GCGAUCAUUUCAGCGCUAAUGCACCAAAUCCCAUCAAAACUCCGCAGUCAAAUGUUCUUGGGUGAGAGUAAUACUAGGAUGGGUGACCUCCUGUGAAGUCCUUGUGUUGCACCCC